ensembl:lncRNA
GGAAACCGCUGUUUAUCACCGCGACGCUCGGCAGCGCGAGACAGAGAUGACCGCCGCUCGCUAACCGACCCGACUUCACGAUGUCCAGCGGCGGCUUCGCGUCACAGAACGGCGCCGGAGGCUCGUACGCGAAUGCUCCUCCUGCGCUGAAUGUUAUGACUCCCCCUCAGACAUUUGGUCCUCCUCCUCAAGGGGCCGGACCUCCUCUUCCUCCUCCAGCGGCUGUGAGAGGAACACCUCCUCUUCCUCCUCCUGCAUUCGGUCCUCCUCUUCCUCCUCCAGCGGCUGUGAGAGGAACACCUCCUCUUCCUCCUCCUGCAUUCGG